rnacentral:lncRNA from 1 species
UCCCUUUUGUUUUCCUUUCUCUUUCUCCCGUCCUCCUCGGCCAGGUGGUAUGGCUUACGGGUCAGAACACCCCAGCAAGUUAGUCUCCCGGGCUACCACCUACCAGGAUGUGGAGUCGAACUGCCUUGGAGACCACGCAGCCCUCGAUUCUGCCCUUGGAGUGACACUUUCUCACCGUCUACCCAUGCGUACAAGACAGAGGCUGAAGUCUGGAGCCGAGACCAGAAGGGAACGCAGCAUAAAGGAACUUGUCUUCUCUGCCUGAACAUUUCUGACCCAGCUCCUUCCUGCAGGACCACGUCUGCGUCACCAGAGCCCUCGGGUCCUGCCCCUGCUCCUUCGGCUGGGCUGCCUCAGUGGGACCGCAGUCGUAAAUAUUUCAGGAUCUCUGUGGCUCCGCUGUGUCCCACUCGUGUAGUCUGCCGUGGCUCGCGUGCCUCUCCAGAGAAGCUGCCGCCAGUGGUGACCUCCAUGUGCUUCUAGCCUCACGUGGCCUCUGGGUCCCAGGGGCAGGGAGGGCGUGUGGGCUCCUGCGCUGGCUCCUCCACGCUUUAUCUGGGCCGGGACAAGUCUCGCCUUUGCCCGUGGCCCUAACACCAAGGGGCCCUGUGACCAGAAGGGGCCGCAUGACCACACUUCAUACCGAGGGGCCAGAAAGCAGGGGGACACAGGGAAGGUGGGGCGCCGUCUCCACACCUGCCCCCCGUGGCUCUUUCCCCUCCCACCCCUUCCCAUAAAAAGUCAAAUCCUUUCCGGACCUCUGACCUCCCCAGCCCGGCCCAGGCUCCAGGGAUACUGAGGCGCUUCGGGCCUUCCGCUUUCCCCAAGCUUAUUUCAUUGCCUUUGUAGAUGCCGUCCUCGCGGCUGAUUCCUACAGCUCUUUCACGUGGCGCUUGGUUCUAGAACUGUUUAGACCGGGCUAAGAAACAGCCA